rnacentral:rRNA from 1 species
CACGUAGGCGGUAGGACAAGUUAGAUGUGAAAUGCCAGGGCUUAACCUUGGGACUGCAUCUAAAACUGUUUUACUAGAGUUCACUAGAGGGAAGUGGAAUUUCCGGUGUAGCGGUGAAAUGCGUAGAUAUCGGAAGGAACAUCAGUGGCGAAGGCGGCUUUCUGGAGUUGAACUGACGCUAAUGUGCGAAAGCGUGGGGAGCAAACA